GUCAUGCCCAGAUAGCAACCUAGAAGGAGGUAGGAAGGCAGUUAGACACGCACCCAAAGGCCUCCAGUAAGGCUGAUGUUAUCCUCAGGUACAGUGCCUUUUCCUUGGAACACUGUAUGCACGGAAGAUAAUGAGCAAAAAGACUCCCACCCAGCAGAGGGGAAAAUAUGGCAGAAGAGCUCUAGCAUCCAGAAGAGCUGUGAAGACUGGAACAAAACUCCUUCUCCCAUACCACAAAGUGAUAGGAGGAAGAAGAGACAUGAACUCAGCUGGUGCAGAGAGGACAACUUUGUGAGAUGGGUCAGAAUCUCUAUUUCCAAGACAGAAUGUCCAGUCUUCUGGAGAAAGUCAACACACAAGCAGGGCAAGGGGAGGAGGGAAAAUUGCACCUGGAUAUGCUCAUAGUUCAGCUCAUGAUACGUCUGUGAUCACAGCUGUGCUGGCAGUGACCGAGCCAGGAAGCUGUGACCAGACUCAACAGUGAAUUGUUGUCCUCCCUGUGCCUCCACCCACAUCAAAUCUCUGAGAGCCAAACCAAAGGCAGAAGGAAGGCAUCUGGCCUACUGUUGUGCAUCAGUGGGAUGCCAGUAAGACUGCCCCAAAACACUGCAGGCCAGCCUUCUAGCUGAGGCCAUGCCAGCUAUUGUCCCACCAAGCAAAGCAGAGCAGCGCAAGAGUCUUUUCCAAGCAAGAAACCCACCAGUUCCUCUACUAUUUGCAACUCUAAUCUGCCACACCAUCUGCAAAUAAACCUAUCAACUCAGCAAGUCACAACAGCAGGGUAUGCCACAGCCUGACCCUUAUAUUAAGCACUACCACUCCAGACAGGAGUUGGCCAAGAGAAAUAUUGAAGAUGCUUCACACAGAUCCAGUAGCAACAGGUCCCUGCAAUGUGAGCUGGGGAAUUUGGCUGAGUAUCGACAGAGCA